rnacentral:rRNA from 1 species
AUGUUCAUUGCCAUUUAUAUGUUCUUUCAUGUACUAAUCAUUUGUGCUAAUAUUGUAGGUUCAGAUGGAUGCUUCAUAAAGCUCACUACUGGUCAACAAAUCCUAGCUGCUAUUGGAAGCGAUGGGAACAACAACAUUUUUCCCAUUGCUUUUGGAAUUAUAGACAAGGAGGACACAAAUUCCUGGACAUGGUUUCUAUACCAGCUGAAGGUAGCAAUAGGUGGGGAAUCUGGCAAGUUUGGACAGUACACAAUCAUUUCAGAUAGGCAAAAGGUAAUAUAUUUAGUUGUACUUUCAUGUAGUUACUUUCAUGUAGUUUUAGUUACUUAG